rnacentral:rRNA from 1 species
GUAACACGUGGAUAACCUACCUAUAAGACUGGGAUAACUUCGGGAAACCGGAGCUAAUACCGGAUAAUAUUUUGAACCGCAUGGUUCAAAAGUGAAAGACGGUCUUGCUGUCACUUAUAGAUGGAUCCGCGCUGCAUUAGCUAGUUGGUAAGGUAACGGCUUACCAAGGCAACGAUGCAUAGCCGACCUGAGAGGGUGAUCGGCCACACUGGAACUGAGACACGGUCCAGACUCCUACGGGAGGCAGCAGUAGGGAAUCUUCCGCAAUGGGCGAAAGCCUGACGGAGCAACGCCGCGUGAGUGAUGAAGGUCUUCGGAUCGUAAAACUCUGUUAUUAGGGAAGAACAUAUGUGUAAGUAACUGUGCACAUCUUGACGGUACCUAAUCAGAAAGCCACGGCUAACUACGUGCCAGCAGCCGCGGUAAUACGUAGGUGGCAAGCGUUAUCCGGAAUUAUUGGGCGUAAAGCGCGCGUAGGCGGUUUUUUAAGUCUGAUGUGAAAGCCCACGGCUCAACCGUGGAGGGUCAUUGGAAACUGGAAAACUUGAGUGCAGAAGAGGAAAGUGGAAUUCCAUGUGUAGCGGUGAAAUGCGCAGAGAUAUGGAGGAACACCAGUGGCGAAGGCGACUUUCUGGUCUGUAACUGACGCUGAUGUGCGAAAGCGUGGGG